rnacentral:rRNA from 1 species
UACGUAGGUGACCAGCGUUGUCCGGAUUUACUGGGCGUAAAGAGCGCGCAGGCGGUCGUUCAAGUCGAGUGUGAAAGCCCCCGGCUCAACUGGGGAGGGUCAUUCGAUACUGAUCGACUUGAAGGCAGGAGAGGGAAGCGGAAUUCCCGGUGUAGUGGUGAAACGCGUAGAUAUCGGGAGGAACACCAGUGGCGAAGGCGGCUUCCUGGCCUGUUCUUGACGCUGAGGCGCGAAAGCUAGGGGAGCAAACGGG